rnacentral:rRNA from 1 species
AGGUAGCGAAAUUCCUUGUCAGGUAAGUUCUGACCCGCACGAAAGGCGUAAUGAUCUGGGUACUGUCUCAACCAUAGACUCGGUGAAAUCUUAAUACCUGUGAAAAUGCAGGUUACCCGCGACUGGACGGGAAGACCCCGUGGAGCUUUACUGUAGCUUGAUAUUGGAAUUCGGUAAACUAUGUAGAGCAUAGGUGGGAGACUAUGAGAUUAAGGCGCCAGCCUUAAAGGAGUCACCAUUGGAAUACCACCCUUAGUUUAUUGGAUUUCUAACCUAGGACCAUAAUCUGGUUCAGGGACAGUGUCUGGUGGGCAGUUUGACUGGGGCGGUCGCCUCCUAAAGAGUAACGGAGGCGUUCAAAGGUUCGCUCAGCUUGAACGGAAAUCAAGCAAAAGAGUGCAAACGCAGAAGCGAGCCUAACUGCGAGACUGACGGGUCGAGCAGUAACGAAAGUUGGAGUUAGUGAUCCGGUGGUAUGUGAGUGGAAAUGCCAUCGCUCAACGGAUAAAAGCUACCCUGGGGAUAACAGGCUGAUCUCCCCCAAGCGUCCACAGCGACGGGGAGGUUUGGCACCUCGAUGUCGGCUCGUCGCAUCCUGGGGCUGUAUUCGGUCCCAAGGGUUUGGCUGUUCGCCAAUUAAAGCGGCACGCGAGCUGGGUUCAGAACGUCGUGAGACAGUUCGGUCCCUAUCUGUUGCGGGCGUAAGAGAUUUGAAGGGAGCUGUCCUUAGUACGAGAGGACCGGGAUGGACUGACCGCUGGUGCACCAGUUGUUCUGCCAGGAGCAUAGCUGGGUACCUACGUGUGGACGGGAUAAACGCUGAAAGCAUCUAAGCGUGAAGCCCCCCUCAAGAUGAGAUUUCCCAUAGCAUAAGCUAGUAAGACCCCUUGAAGAACACAAGGUUGAUAGGUCAGAGGUGUAAGUGUGGUAACAUAUUUAGCUGACUGAUACUAAUAGGUCGAGGGCUUGACCAA